AAGUGAGCUGUAGCUCACGAAAGCUUAUGCUCAAAUAAAUUUGUUAGUCUCUAAGGUGCCACAAGUACUCCUUUUCUUUUUAGCCAGCACAGGACACCAGAACCUCCUGAGUACAGGAAAGAGAAGGGCUACCUGAGGUCAGAAGUGGUGACCUGGCUCAUGUGGAAGUACAAUGCUUCUUGUAAACAGAAGAAGGCUGGAGACAGCAGCCUGAGAGCUGGUCAAAGAGAGAAGACUGGAGAGCAGGUAGCCUUAGCGUUGGGUCAAGUCAGAUGGUUGUAGGCACAGGGCUAGUAGUAUCUGCAGCAGGAGCAUACACGGCUGUGGUCUGCAGGCAGAAGGAUACUGAGAAAGAGUUACACUGGGACUCACAGGUCUGCUAGACACUUAAAAAUUAGGUCAACCUAGCUAUGUCACUCAGGGCUGUGAAAAAUGUUGUGCCAUGGACACUGUAGUUAGGUUGACCUAAACCCUGGUGUAGAUGUGGCUGCCAACCAACUACCACCUCUUGGAGAGAUGGAUUUACUACACUGAGGAAAAACCCCUUUCAUCGACAUAGGAAGCAUCUACACUACAGUGGCACAACAGCUGUGCCACUGUUGUGUAGAUAUGCCCUUACUUUCAUAUCCCUGUACUGGACUGCCCUUAGGGACUGGAUUGGGAACUGUUCUUUUGAUCUUUGUGUUGUGACUUAAGCAAUUUUACCAAGGAUAACUGCACUUUUUAUUUUGGCAACUCUUGCAAAGGAAUCUGCCCUGGCACACAAAGUGUGCAACUGUUUCUGACAACCCACCAAGGACUAGAGCCUGAAGAGCUGAGUGUUUGGAGCACAGACAGCACUUUUCUCCAAAUCUGUGGGUCCAUGGAGUGGAACCCUGGUGCAAAGAGAAGGCCUAGGUUCCCCCUACAAGACACUGAUAUCGUGGCGUGAGGCUGCAGAAAGAAAGAAGAGUGACAGAGACCUCUGACAAAAGGGAAUAAGGACCACAGAGAGCAGGUUUGGUUCUAAAGACUUGAUACAAGGUAUUUGAUAUUGGUUUGUUGGCCUUUGUUACCCGAGAAGGGGUGGACUUAAAUCGUGGCAUGCAUGGAGGACCAGGUUACGGGACUGGGUGGACUGCAGAACACCAGAGCAGCCAUCAAUAGGGGAUCCCAGAUGUGGAGCGAGUCACUAUGCCAUACCCAGUCCCAAGGAGAUACUUCAGUGAGAACCAGGGAAGUGACAUCACUGGAGCUGAAUGGCUUCUUCAGCAUUUAGCUCCAUGCUGAAGCCUGCACAAUUAGUGGACAUUGCUGCUCCCCAGGCCCCAUGACUUCCCAGGAAGCCUCUCCUAAUUCUUAGAUGGGUACUCCACGUAAAGAGAACAAUAUUCCAGAAAAGGAACUACAAGGCAGUGAGACUGCAGAACAGCUGAGCUGGAAAAAUCCAAGAUUGCAGCUGCCAGGACCAAAUCCUGUCUCCUUCUCACUUUCUCUUCUGAGGGGCUAGGCAGGCCAUUCAUCCAAUUUUAAACCAGACAGUCCUCUUUUUUGGGUGGUUUGUCCCCAUCUGGUAAAAUCACUGUAGUUUUAUCCAGUAUCGGAUGGUGUCUGCCAUUUUGAAGAGCAUGCUGCUCCGCCCUGUGACCUUGCAAGCAAGGUUACUCCAGUGGGGAUGGGGUUCCUGGAAGUACUGGAAUAUUCAGUAUUCUGGGGAUGCAUGAGUGGCCACCCUAACAGGGAUCCCUAGCACUAAAAAUGAUUUUUGUGAGCUAAUUUCUGAGUUUAAAUCUCCAAAAUCCCUUCUAAAUAUCAAACUGGAUGAAUUUAAGCCUGAUAUCACCAAACUGGGGUUAGAUAGAGUGGUCUGGAAACAGGAAAAGAGGAGAGAUUUGAGACAGAACAGAAUUAAAGUGCUAGAAAGAGAGAGCUGACAGAGAAGAUAUAAGAUGUCUCUUAUAAGCAUGAGUUGUGUGACUCCUGGAGCCAUCGUCUUCUAAAGGUAAGUAGCUACUCCUUUUCAGUACCUAACAGAAUAUAUACAAGAAUUGAUAUGACUCUAAUCUUUAGAUCUUUACUUCAUACAGGAACAUCAGCACAGCAAGGCUGCGUCUCCUGGUUAGAUCACAUUUCAGUUUGGCUUUUUAUUAGAAACUGGGAAGACAAACCUACAAUGAAAAGAUGGGGAUAAAAUAUCCCACUUCUGUAUGACCAGAAAAGAAUUCAAGAUAUCAGACAGGAAACUAAGCAAUAAUUUAAAGAAAACAAUACAGAGCAGAUUUUAAGAAGUCCUCUAUAGGAUGCCUUCCAAGUAGAGACUAGGGGCAGUUUAAUAAAUAAUCCUAUCUCAAAAAAGAAGUGCAAACAUUGCUCAAGGAGGUUGAACAAUUUAAAUUUACACCAGACAAAUCAAUCACAGAAAAUAUAUUAAAAAUGAAGAAGCUAGAAGUAAGUUAGAUUUACUUGAAACAGAAAAAAAUGACCAGGUAAUCAGAUACACAAAGCUAUACUAUGAAAAAGGGUAAUGAAAGUGAUAAAUAAUUAGCUAAUAUGCUAACAACAUUUAAAAAAAAGUGAAAUCAUAUCCUCCAGUCUGCAAGGCUCCAAAUGAAUUGGCAACUGGCCCAAAAUGGGUGAGGCUUUUGCAGACUUCUAUAGGAGGCUUUACUCCUUAGAGUCAGCUGACGAUAAGCUGAUAAAGAAAUAAUUAGUUAAAGCUAAUGUACCAAAACUAGAACACCUAGAUGCCAUGGAGAAAGAUAUUAAACUAGAGGAAGUCCUAUAAGUUAUUAAGUCCCUUAAAAAUGAUCAAGCUAUUGGCCCUGAUGGAUUUCCUCCAGAAUUCUCUAAUUUUUUUAGGGCACAAUUAAUAUGACAAUUAAUAGAUGUCAUCAAUUAAAUUUCAAAAGGAAAUAAAUAUAUUGUAUGCUGUGUGAGAUGCACGAAUUGUAGUUAUCGCAAAACGUGCUAAGGAGUUAUCCAACUAUGUGUCUUACAGGCCCAUAUCCCUAUUAAAUCAAGAUGGAAAAAUUUAUGCUUCAGUCCUAGAAAAUAGACCGAAAAUUGUUACCUAGGUAUAUUAAAAGAUCAGACAGGGUUUGUAUUAAACAGAGAGCUAUCUGACAACAUUCAGAGUUUUAUGCCUGAUCUUCUUCAGACUCUACUAAUGAGAUCCAUCAUUUUUUACCACUAGAUAAAGAUAAAGCUUUUGCCUGACUGAAUUGGCAGUUCUUAAAAGAUACUGUAGAAACAUUUGGUUUAGGCCCUAAAUUUCAAAAUUGCAUUUCCAUCUUAUAUUCCAAUCCAUAUGCUAAUGGAUAUCUAUCAGAAAAAGUCCCCCUUUUUAUAGGCACAUGCCAAGAAAGACCCCAUUAUCAUCUUCUUUUUGCCAUGGUAAUGGAGUCAUUUGUCCAAUCAUUCAGAAACAAUACUAAUAUAAAUAGGAAACAACACAAACUAGCUUUCAUGUGCACGAUGUCAUGGCAUUUGUUACAAAUCCAGCUCACAUACUACUAGAAUUAUAAGAAAAGAUCUUAUAAUGUGGCAAAGUAUCAGAAUUCAGGUAAACUACGAUAAAUCAGAUUUACGGGACAUAAGCGUGGGUUCUGAUCUACAGAAAAAUAUAAAAGAUAAAUACAAAUGGGUAACUACAGUAGGACAGCUGGGAAUACACAUUUCUAAAAGAUGGCAAGACUUGCAUAAUAAUUAUACUCUUCUGAUUAAGAAAAUCAAAACAGAUCUAGAAAACUGGUUGAAGUAUGAUAUUUCAUGGUGAGGCAAAACUGUGGCAUUUAAAAUUAAUCUUACUCUUAAUUAACUUCCUUUUCCAAACACUUCUGGUUUUAGUCUUGGGAAGUCUUAAAUCAAUAGGAAUCCCUGAUAAACAAAUUCAGCUGGGGAAAUAAGAAACCCACAGUUAUGCAUUUACUUAACAAAGGCCAUGUAAAAAGGGAGUAUUCUCUUUACCAAACGUUAAGAUCUAUUACCAAGCCAGUCAGAUUAGAAACUUGAUAUAGUGGAUAACACCAAACCUUAAAAAGCACUGGGAAGAGAUUCAAGCUUACUGUUGUGCAAUCAAACUCCAUGUGAUCUGGAUAAAGAGAAGAGAAAGUUACUCACCCUGUGCAGUAACUGAGGUUCUUUGAGAUAUGUGUCCCUGUGAGUGCUCCACUUCAGGUGUUGGUGCUUCCCAGGACUGUUGAUCAGGGAUUUUCAGUUGCAGAGUCCGUCUGGGUCACAUGAGUGCAAUGGUUUUCUUGCGGUGCCGUUGGUACCUCAGCUAGUGCACACACGACCUGACCCCAUCAUUUCUUUCUCUUCCGCAGACUCCAUACUGCGAACUCCGAAGUAGAGGGGAGAAGGAAGGAGUAGUGGAGCACCCAUAGGGACACACAUCUUGAAGAACCUCUGUUACUGCACAGGGUGAGUAACCGCCUCUUCUUCUUAAAAUGAUGUCCCUGUGGGUGCUCCACUUCAGGUGAUUGUAGAGCAGUGCCCCCCUGUGGAUGGAAAGGUCUACAGAGUUGUAUGUAGAGAUGAACUUAUGCUCAAAUAAAUUUGUUAGUCUCUAAGGUGCCACAAGUCCUCCUUUUCUUUUUGAAGUUACUACCAUUACUCCUAGCAUUGCAUCUGAGUCUGAGCACUUAGUUAUCGCAUAAUGAUUCAUGAAAGUAUGUUCUGAGGCCCAGGUGGUGGUUCUACAUAUUUCUAUGAUCAGUACGUUGUUCAGGAAGGCUAUUGAGGUAGCCAUUGAUCUAGUCAAAUGAGUUCUGAUCCCUGAUGGGGGAUCUGUUUUGUUUUGUUGAUAACAGAAAUGGAUGCAAGUGGAGAUCCAUUUUGAUAGUCUCUGUGUGGCUAUGGCAGAGCCUUUGGAAUGCUCUGUCAUGGAAACAAAACACCUUGGAGACUUUUGGAAAGACAUAGUUCUCUCCAGGUAGAAUGCAAUUGCAUGUCUGAUGUCCAGGGUAUGUAGAAUAGCCUCCUGUGUGUUUCCAUGAGUUUGGGAUAGAAUAUAGGCAGAUGGAUUGGUUGGUUGAGAGGAAAGGAAGAUGAUAUUUUGGGUAUGAAUUUGGGGUGUGGUCUCAAACUGAUCUUGUAACUGAAAAAUAUGGUGUAUGGAGGGUACGCCGUGAGAGCUGCUAUUUUGCUUACUCAUCACAUGGACAUGAUUGCGACCAAGGACGCUACCUUCAUAGAUAGGUGAAUUAGGGAGCAGGUAUCUAAUGGUUCGAACAGAGAUCUGAUAAGGCUUCUGAGAACCAGAUUUAAGUCCCAUGCCGGUGUAGGGUUACAUAUUUCUGGAUAAACAUUCUUCAUCCCUGUGAGAAAGCAUUUAGUAAUCGGGUGCACGAAUAUUGACUCUCCAUCGAUCUUGUGAUGGAAGGUGGUAAUGGCAGUGAGCUUAUUGUAAGUCCUUAAUUUUUAAAUUCUAGUAUAUAGUCUAACACCAACAGAAGUGGCGCUAUAAAUGUGGUUAUUUGUUUGUUCUGAUGCCAAAAGUAGAACCUUUUCCAUUAUUGGAGGUAAGUAGCAUGCGUGGUUAAUCUCCUGCUGUUUAAUAAUACGUGUUUAACCUGUUCCAAAAGGGCAAACUCAUCAUGUUGGAGCCAUGGAUGAGCCACCCCUUCAAGUGAAGUUUUUCCAAAUUUGGGUGGAGAAUCUGACCGUCGUCCUGUGAGAGCAGGUCUGGCCUGUGUGGGAGAGUUCAUGGAUUGCAGGUCGCCAUGAGUAUCAAUUUCAUCAUCGACACUGCUACAGAGCUUCGUCUCAGGCCGAGGACAGUUGAGAAGGAACUGAGGUCGUCAGGUCAUGUGAGCACUAGAUGAGGCACCAAUGGUGCCUCAAGAUGACCACUGUGUACGUGUGACCCAGACCAACACUGCUACUGAAAAUCUCUGAUCAACGGCACUGGGAUGCACCGACACCUGAAAUGGAGCACCCACAGGAACAUCACUUGAAGAAGAACCUAGAUGUCAAAAUCAGUACAUAACCACCCUUCCACGAAAGCAACAACAGAAACUUGGGAUAAUUUGCUUAGAAAAGUUAAGCCUAUAUUCCUCACUUCUAAAGCCUGUAUUAGAUACUAUAGAAUGUGACCCCAAUAAAUACCUGGGAAUUUUUGACAUUUGGGAAUGUAUAGGUAUAUCAAAAUUUGGCCAGCUGUUUAGAGAGAAUACAUUUAGAUCAGUUGAUGAAAGACAACAACUUGCAAAAGACAUCAAAAUUUCAUUAUACCAAUAUCUAUGAUUAAGACAUUUUCACAAAAAGGGAAACCUAUGCAGAAAAUUGAUGGAAUCUGAAAAAUUACUCAGUAAAUCCAUGAAACUUCUCACUUUAUACAAAGUAAUUUCAAACUUACUUAAAGGAAAUAAUUAAAUUUGUGAAAAGUUGAUGUAGCCAUAGACACCAAAAUUAAGGAAUGGAGAAUAUAUGGGACAAUGAUGCCCACACCUCAUUAAAGGUAUUAAUACAAGAAAAUUGUUACAGUUCUUUAUCAUUGGUAUCUAAUCCCUUUAAAGUGAGUAUAUGGUACAGGGAUGGGCAAAGAAUGAAGAGAAUGUAUUUAAAUGGUAGGAUUUCUCCAUAAUUGGUGGAUAUGCCCAAAAAUUAAGACACUUUGCAAAGCCAUUGGAGACUCCAUAAGGGAGAUAACUGUGUCAGUUAGUCAGAUAACUCCUUAGUAUUUUUAUUAAAUUGUCCUAGAAACUAAGCAUCUUAUAAAAUAACUGAUUACUCAUUCCCUAGUUGGUGCUAGAAUUAUUAUACCAAGGUGGUGGAAGAGGAAUGACUCCCCUAAAAUUAUAGACUGGUAUCAAAAUAUUUGGGAAAUUCUGGUAUUAAAAAAUUAAUUCAAGUCAAGUUCUACAGUGGAGAAGGAAAAAAUGGUAACUACUGAGGCUAUGUCUACACUAUGCAGACUAUAUCGGAAUAGCUACAUCUCCAUACCUAUGCCGGCAUGGCCCUGUAGUGUAGAGGCAGCCUAUGCUGAAGAGAUUUUUCUUUAGGUGUAGGAACACCACCUGUCCUGAUGCCUGUAGCUACACUUUCUUCCAUCGAUAUAGCUAUACCUAUGCUGGGGGCUAGGUUGGUAUAACUAUGUUGGUCAGUGGUGUGUACUGCCAUUUUUGUGUUUUUUCACAUCUCUGAGCACUGCAACUAUGUUGACCUGUUAAGUGUAUACCAGGCCUUAGAAAUGUGGUGAAACUUUUUGGAGUUUGGUGGAAGAGGAUCAUCUCCUGCCAUCAAGCCUACAGUUUGAAAACUUUUUCUGAAUACUAGGUUAGGGGGAAACCCCUUCAACAAUAGUCGAAAUUUAAGUCAAAAUUAAGAUAUUAAAAUAAGGAAAAUAGGAGGAAAAAGGAGAAAAGCUUAAUCAUAGAAUUGUAGGACUGGAAGGGACCUUGAUAGGUCACCUUCUCCAGUCCCUUGCACUGAGGCAGGAUUAAGUAUUAUCUAGACCAUUCCUGACAGGUGUUUGUCUAACCUAUUCUUAAAAACCUCAAAUUGCUGGAGAUUCCAUAACCGCCCUAGCUAAUUUGUUUCAGUGUUUAUCUACCUUUAAGGUAGGAAGCUUUAUCUAAUAUCUAACCUAAAUCUCCCUUGCUGCAAUUUAUGCUAAUUACUACUUGUCCUGUCUUCAGUGGUUAAGGAGAACAAUUUAUCACAAUCCUCUUUAUAACAACCUUUUAUGUUCUUGAAGACUGUUUCCCCCUCAGUCUUCUCUUCUCCAGACUAAACAAACCCAAUUUUUUCAAUCUUUCACCAUAAGUAAUGUUUUCUAGACCUUCCGUCAUUUUUGUUUCUCUCCUCUGAACUUUCUCUAAUUUGUCCACAUAUUUCCUGAAGUGCAGAGGUCAGAACUGGACACAGUACUCCUGUUGAGGCCUUAUCACGGCUGAGUAGAGUGGAAGAACUACUUCUCGUGUCUUGCUUACAACACUCCUGCUAAUGCAUCCCAGAAUUAUGUUUGGUUUUUUUGCAACAGUAUUAUAUUGUUGACUCAUAUUUAGUUUUUGAUCCACUAUAACCCCCAGAUCUUUCUCUGCAGUACUUCUUCCGAUGCAGUCAUUUCACAUUUUGUAUUUCUGCAAUUGAGUUUUCCUUCCUAAGUGUAGUACUGUGCGUUUGUCCUUAUUGAAUUUAAUCCUAUUCAUUUCAGACUAUUUAUCAAGAUCAUUUUGAAUUCUAAGCCUGCCCUCCAAAGCUCUUGCAAGGCCACCCAGCUUAGUAUAAGCUGCAAACUUUAUGAGUGUACUCUCUGUGCCAGUGGUUUUCAACCUGUGGUCCGCAGACUAUGUCUAAGAUUUCCAAAGAGGUUGACACCUCCAUUUGAAAUUUUUUAGGGGUCCUCAAAUGAAAAAAGGUUGAAAACCACUGCUGUAUGCCAUUAUCCAAAUCAUUUAUGAAGAUACUGAAUAGAACCACAGCCAGGACAGAUCCCUGUGGGAACCCACUCAAUAUGCCCUUCCAGCUUGACUGUGAACCGUUGAUAACUACUCUGAGUACAGUUUUCCAACCAGCUGUGCAUCCAUCUUAUAGUCAAUUCCUCUAGACUGUAUUUCCCUAGUACAUUUGAAAAUGUCAUGUGAGACAGUAUCAAAAAUCCUUCUAAAUUUGAGAUAUUAAUAUUGUGUAGUGGUCUUAUAGGAUAACCAAUAAACAGGUUGUGCACCUACAUGUACCAAAAACAGAAGUUUGGGCCUAAACAUGAGAUAAUGCAAGACUUUAACCAACACUAUCAACUGACAAGACAAAAGAGGAAGAUGAAGAGUAGAAUAUCGUGAACCACAAUAUGUGAUCAAGACCAAAAAGUUGAAGAAAAUGACUGGUAGUAGGCCUUGUGCACACAGCUUUAGGGACUUAUAUAGGCCAGUUCAGAAUUAUAUAUUUGUGUAUGUUUGUCUUUAAGUUGUAAAACAUGUUUUAUAAGAUUUAUGUUAUAAAAGAAUGGCUCUAUUAAUUAAUAAAAUAAAAAAUAACAGCCUGUUAUAACCAAA